AGAAUGAACGCUGGCGGCAUGCCUAACACAUGCAAGUCGAACGAAGGCUUCGGCCUUAGUGGCGCACGGGUGCGUAACGCGUGGGAAUCUACCCUUAGGUUCGGAAUAACAGUUGGAAACGACUGCUAAUACCGGAUGAUGACGUAAGUCCAAAGAUUUAUCGCCUAGGGAUGAGCCCGCGUAGGAUUAGCUAGUUGGUGUGGUAAAGGCGCACCAAGGCGACGAUCCUUAGCUGGUCUGAGAGGAUGAUCAGCCACACUGGGACUGAGACGCGGCCCAGACUCCUACGGGAGGCAGCAGUGGGAAUAUUGGACAAUGGGCGAAAGCCUGAUCCAGCAAUGCCGCGUGAGUGAUGAAGGCCUUAGGUUGUAAAGCUCUUUACCCGGAUGAUAAUGACAGUACCGGAGAAUAAGCUCCGGCUAACUCCGCGCCAGCAGCCGC
rnacentral:rRNA from 1 species